UUAAAACGAACGCACCAUGCAGGAGUUUGCGACAUCCGGCUGUGCUGCGCGUGCAAAUGAAUUAUGAAAUGAUUCACGUUUCACUGGUGGUUGCCACGGUAACAGGUGUGCUUAAACUACAAAGAGAGAGAGAAUAAAAAGAGCAGGAGAGGAGGAGCGACUAUGGCGUUUCAGCAGCGGUUUGUUUGUUUAGCUGCUGGCAUCCCUGAAAUAUCUGAGGAGGAAGAAAAUGGCGUCUGGAACUAGUAGCUGAUCGAUAAUAGAUAUCUUGGGUGAACGACAAUAAAGCUGAGGGCCGCUUCAAGCUCCAUCAAAGGUAAGUUAAGUCAAGCUUCUGUGACCCGCCAUGUCUUCUGCGGGUUUGAUGCUAUACUAACGCUGUUUGAUGCUAACGUCGUUUGAUGCUAACGCUGUUGAAGGCCUAAGCUUUGCUUUUUUGGUUUGAUUCUUUGCUGAGAGUCAAUGAGCUGAGAAGAAUUCUGCUGUUGCAAAUCAUUGUCUUUUUUGUGCUAUGUGUGUGUGUUAUUGGUUCUUUGUGCUGUGGUAUGCAUGGUUGAAAAUCAGUUGUGAUGUGAAAGAAAAAUGGCUGCCAAGGAUUUGGCAAAUACAGUUCAGAGACUGCAGGAAGGGACUCAGCUUAGCAAAUUACUAUAAUAAAAUUCAUAGCAUACCUAUAUAUUCUUAGUGAUAAUUGAAUGUGGCUAUGUUGACAUAGUAUAGCUGCAUUAAGAUAAUUAUCUUUUGGAUGUAUAUUAAAUGGUUUUGGGUGAAAAUAGUGUAUUUUUUUUAUUUUUGAAAAUACAUACCUUUUUAUUUUUUGCAUCUACUUAACAUUUAGUUUUAAAUUUAAUCUAAAUAUUUCAAACACAGGGUCCAUAUUUUAAUAAGUCAAUAACUGAAACAAAUUUCAUUUACGUUCAACAAUUUAAAUUUAAAUGUGAAAACCGGUUUUGUGUCGAAACACGCAGCCUCUUCAAAUUUAAUCUUGAUUUAAUUUCUUCUGCACAAGCUUUUUUGGAAAGUUUUUCUGUUAAAGGAAACUUUUUCCUCAUCACUGUCACCACAUUAAUCCCCAAUAGGAGGCAUUGCUUAAACGUAAUUUUAUCAAAUGUAAAUAAAUGGUUCGGUGCUGGGUGUGUUUGGAAGUCUUCCUGUUAAAAGGAAGUUCUUCUUUUAGGAAAUUCUUCCUGUUAACCCUCUUAUUCCCAUAAUUGUAACUGGGCCGCCUGGUAUUUUUUUGAUUUUAUGGCUAUAAAAUUCUCAAAAAUUUUGCAUGGAGUUGGUAUUUUUGCUC